rnacentral:rRNA from 1 species
AGCGAACGCUGGCGGCAGGCUUAACACAUGCAAGUCGAACGCAUCCUUCGGGGUGAGUGGCAGACGGGUGAGUAACACGUGGGAACGUACCCUUUGGUUCGGAAUAACUCAGGGAAACUUGAGCUAGUACCGGAUACGCCCUUUUGGGGAAAGGUUUACUGCCGAAGGAUCGGCCCGCGUCUGAUUAGCUAGUUGGUGGGGUAACGGCCUCCCAAGGCGACGAUCAGUAGCUGGUCUGAGAGGAUGAUCAGCCACACUGGGACUGAGACACGGCCCAGACUCCUACGGGAGGCAGCAGUGGGGAAUAUUGGACAAUGGGCGCAAGCCUGAUCCAGCCAUGCCGCGUGAGUGAUGAAGGCCUUAGGGUUGUAAAGCUCUUUUGUCCGGGACGAUAAUGACGGUACCGGAAGAAUAAGCCCCGGCUAACUUCGUGCCAGCAGCCGCAGUAA